rnacentral:misc_RNA from 1 species
AAAGUCGUAACAAGGUUUCCGUAGGUGAACCUGCGGAAGGAUCAUUAAAGUGUCUAGCCUGCGCACCUAGUGCCCGGGCGAAACUCCACCCUUGACUACUAUACCACAUGUUGCUUUGGCGGGCCCGCCUCCGGGCCGCCGGGGGUUCUGCCCCUGGCCUGCGCCCGCCAGAGACAUAUUGAACCCUUUGUGAAAUUGGACGUCUGAGUUGAUUAUCAAUCAUUAAAACUUUCAACAAUGGAUCUCUUGGUUCCG